CGGCAGCACGAGAGAAGCUUGCUCUCUUUGGAGGCGAGUGGCGGACGGGUGAGUAUAUAUCGGAACGUGCCCAGUAGCGGGGGAUAACUACUCGAAAGAGUGGCUAAUACCGCAUACGCCCUACGGGGGAAAGGGGGGGAUUCUUCGGAACCUCUCACUAUUGGAGCGGCCGAUAUCGGAUUAGCUAGUUGGUGGGGUAAAGGCUCACCAAGGCAACGAUCCGUAGCUGGUUUGAGAGGACGACCAGCCACACUGGGACUGAGACACGGCCCAGACUCCUACGGGAGGCAGCAGUGGGGAAUUUUGGACAAUGGGGGAAACCCUGAUCCAGCCAUCCCGCGUGUAUGAUGAAGCCUUCGGGUUGUAAAGUACUUUUGGCAGAGAAGAAAGGUAUCCCCUAAUACGAGAUACUGCUUGACGGUAUCUGCAGAAUAGCACCGGCUAACUACGUGCCAGCAGCCGCGGUAAUACGUAGGGUGCAAGCGUUAAUCGGAAUUACUGGGCGUAAAGCGUGUGGUAGGCGGUUCGGA
rnacentral:rRNA from 1 species